GAUGAAGAACGUAGUGAAAUGCGAUAAGUAAUGCGAAUUGCAGAAUCCGUGAGUCAUCGAAUCUUUGAACGCACAUUGCGCCCCUUGGUAUUCCGAGGGGCAUGCCUGUUCGAGCGUCAUUAUAACCCCUCAAGCUCAGCUUGGUGUUGGGGCCUGCCGCACGGGCAGCCCUUAAAAUCAGUGGCGGUGCCAUCUGGCUCUAAGCGUAGUAAUUCUUCUCGCUAUAGAGUCCCGGUGGAUGCUUGCCAUUAACCCCCAAUUUUCUAUGGUUGACCUCGGAUCAGGUAGGGAUACCCGCUGAACUUAAGCAUAUCAAUAAGCGGAGGA
rnacentral:misc_RNA from 1 species